rnacentral:piRNA from 1 species
UGUGGGCGAGAAGAGGGUGUCCUAUGGGC